rnacentral:sRNA from 1 species
CAGAACAGUACUGUUGCGGGCAGAUGUAGUGGAUGUGCGUGUCGAUACCGCCGGCCGUCACGAUCAACCCCUCGCACGCUGAAGGAGAAGCGUGAGUUGACAACAUACACACGACACACACGACACACACACACAACGAUCGAGGAAGCUACCGAUCACAUCAGUUGUCACACCCACUACCAUCUGAACCCCUUCCAUCACUAAAUGUACAGCCACGCGCGACGCGACGCGACGCGACACCAACGAUAUGAUUUGUUGUUAGGGAUCCAUGCUGCCUUGGGGAGAGCGACACGACGAACCAUCAGGGUUUCCCGCCUUUCCGAUUCCAGCGAUGAGACCGUUCUUGAUGCCAAUGUCGGCCUUGUAGACGCCCGUGUAGUCCACGAUCAACUGCACCAGCGGCGACGCCCAUGGGGUGAGCGCAAGUGGUGAUGGGCUCGAGCCUUGGCGGGUGAUGG